UUGCUACAUUACCUAGCGGCGGACGGGUGAGUAAUGCUUAGGAAUCUGCCUAUUAGUGGGGGACAACAUUCCGAAAGGAAUGCUAAUACCGCAUACGUCCUACGGGAGAAAGCAGGGGACCUUCGGGCCUUGCGCUAAUAGAUGAGCCUAAGUCGGAUUAGCUAGUUGGUGGGGUAAAGGCCUACCAAGGCGACGAUCUGUAGCGGGUCUGAGAGGAUGAUCCGCCACACUGGGACUGAGACACGGCCCAGACUCCUACGGGAGGCAGCAGUGGGGAAUAUUGGACAAUGGGGGGAACCCUGAUCCAGCCAUGCCGCGUGUGUGAAGAAGGCCUUUUGGUUGUAAAGCACUUUAAGCGAGGAGGAGGCUACUAGUAUUAAUACUACUGGAUAGUGGACGUUACUCGCAGAAUAAGCACCGGCUAACUCUGUGCCAGCAGCCGCGGUAAUACAGAGGGUGCGAGCGUUAAUCGGAUUUACUGGGCGUAAAGCGUGCGUAGGCGGCUGAUUAAGUCGGAUGUGAAAUCCCUGAGCUUAACUUAGGAAUUGCAUUCGAUACUGGUCAGCUAGAGUAUGGGAGAGGAUGGUAGAAUUCCAGGUGUAGCGGUGAAAUGCGUAGAGAUCUGGAGGAAUACCGAUGGCGAAGGCAGCCAUCUGGCCUAAUACUGACGCUGAGGUACGAAAGCAUGGGGAGCAAACAGGAUUAGAUACCCUGGUAGUCCAUGCCGUAAACGAUGUCUACUAGCCGUUGGGGCCUUUGAGGCUUUAGUGGCGCAGCUAACGCGAUAAGUAGACCGCCUGGGGAGUACGGUCGCAAGACUAAAACUCA
rnacentral:rRNA from 1 species